GACGAACGCUGGAGGCGUGCUUAACACAUGCAAGUCGAACGAUGAAAUGGAGCUUGCUCCAUGGAUUAGUGGCGAACGGGUGAGUAACACGUGAAUAACCGCCCUUAAUUUUGGAAUAACCCAGGGAGACCUGGGCUAAUACCGGAUAAGUAAACCUGUGGCAUCACAUGGUUUUGGAAAGUUUUUCGAUUAAGGAUGGAUUCGCGGCCUAUCAGCUUGUUGGUGAGGUAAUGGCUCACCAAGGCGACGACGGGUAGCCGGCCUGAGAGGGUGAACGGCCACACUGGGACUGAGACACGGCCCAGACUCCUACGGGAGGCAGCAGUGGGGAAUAUUGCGCAAUGGACGAAAGUCUGACGCAGCGACGCCUCGUGAGGGACGAAGGUCUUCGGAUUGUAAACCUCUUUCAGCAGGGACGAAGCGAAAGUGACGGUACCUGCAGAAGAAGCACCGGCUAACUAUGUGCCAGCCGCCGCAGUAA
rnacentral:rRNA from 1 species